UACAGAGGUCUCAAGCGUUGUUCGGAUUCAUUGGGCGUAAAGGGUGCGUAGGCGGCGCGGUAAGUCGGGUGUGAAAUCUCGGGGCUUAACUCCGAAACUGCAUUCGAUACUGCCGUGCUUGAGGACUGGAGAGGAGACUGGAAUUUAGGUGUAGCGGUGAAAUGCGUAGAUAUCGUAAGGAAGACCAGUGGCGAAGGCGGGUCUCUGGACAGUUCCUGACGCUGAGGCACGAAGGUCAGGGGAGCAAACGGG
rnacentral:rRNA from 1 species